UUGCCUUAUUGAGAGGCAGCAUCCACUGCCAUUCAGAUUGCCUGAGUCACUGCAGCUUUACCUUGUUGACUGACUUAGAUCCCUGCUGAGUUAGACCUGGAAGAUGACUGACUUCCUCAUUAGUCUCACACCAAGGGAAAGGGAAAACCUGUGAUCUCUCAGAAGUCUGUACUCUCAGUUUAUUUAUUCUGUCGCUCUUAAUUGUGAAUGUCCACUGUGUGGAAUAAAACUAUGAUUAGUGAGGUGCCUUCUAGUACAAUUUGGUAUAGAGUAAACCUAUUUCUACACAUUUCUGAAUCUUUCUAAUAUCAAAACAAUGAAUAUUUAAUUACAGAUAUUUAACUGUAGAUUACUUGAAAUACCCUCCUGGGGUCAGGUGGAUGCAAAAAAAAAUAUUUGGGGGGAUUUAAACCUAUUUUAACUGAUUAGAUUUUGUUCUAGAGGAUACACCUAUGUUUGGAAAUUAUGGAAGAAAAACACCAUUGUAUGUUUUCAAUUUGUUAAACUUUAUUUACAGACUCCUUUUUCUUUCCUUUGGUAUUGGAUGUUUUCUUUAUUUACAUUUCAAAUAUUAUCCCCUUUCCAGGUUUCCCCCUUGCCCUGCUCUCAGAAACCUUCUAUCCCAUCCUCUCCCUCCUCCUGCUUUUACGAGGGUGUUCCUCCACCUACCCACCCAAAUCGACCUCACUGCCCUCAAUUCCUCUAUACUGGGGCAUUUAUCUAGGACAUUUAUCGGACCCUCAUAGGACCAAUGACCUCUCCUUCUAUUGACGCGUGACAAGGCCAUCCUCUGCUACAUGUGCAGCUGGAGCCAUGUGUACUCCUUGGUGGAUGGCUUAGUCCCUGGGAGCUCUGGGGGGUCUGGUAGGUUAAUAUUGUUGUUCUUCAUAUGUGGUUGUAAACCCCUUCAACUCCUUCAGACCAUUCUCUAACUCCUCUAUUAGGAACCCUGUGCUCAGUCCAUUGGCUGGUGGCUAGCAUCUGCCUCUGUAUUUAUAAGGCUCUGGUAGUGCCUUUCAGAAGACAGUCAUAUUAGGUUCCUUUCAGCAUGCACUUCUUGGCAUCCACAAUAGUGUCUGGGUUUGGUAACUGUAUAUGGGAUGAAUCUCCAGGUAGGACUCUUUACUUAUAAUGCAAUAACUUGAUCAGAAGUAUAGUCAUAUAUAAUGAAAGUAAGACCUCUACAGCAGAAUAAACUUUUGGUAAAAUUUAGCAUGUGAAGAUAAUCUACUUGCUGGUGAUAUGUAAAUUUUACUAUGAAAGACUUUUUGCCUUCUUUAAAAAAAUCAAGAUUUAUAUCUAACAUUGGGUAAAUUGCUAAUAAGGAAAAUUUAUCAUAUAUAUUUUGUUCAUGGUGUAAAAGAAUAGACAUCAUGUAUUCCAAGUCUUCAAAAUUUAAAUGAGAAGUACCGGAAGCCUCAUUACUUUAACUUUGCUAAAUGUACCUGCCAUAAAACAGCGUAACUAUACAAUUGACAUUUUGCAUUUCUAAGACCACUAAGUAAUUAUAUAUUUCUUUUUCAGAAAUACUGCUAACCACAUCGUCAUGUUUGAUUUACGCAUAGAAUACCGCAAAAAUUUAUUUAAUAAAACAUUAUUUCCUGCUCUACAUACUUGUUAAGAUUAAGAUAUCCAGACAAUACAAUAAAGUAAUAUAGCAAUAACAGAUAUACUAAUAUACCUGCAAUACUCUAUUGCAAUGUGUCAGUGGUAGAAGGACUCCAUUUAAAGACAAAAUGAACCUUUAAGUUACCUUGGAAGAGUCCAGGCAAAGCAGAAGGUGACAGUCACCUGCAAGGCCUCUCUUUCAUCUCUCACCAAAUGGUGAGAAGAGAUUGUUCACAGGGCAAGGUUAGAGCUGGUUAGGAAUGAUUCACUGGCUGAGGAGAGAAAAUAAUGCAAGAGAGUAGAAUGGAAAGAUUAAUAGGCAGAGAAGCCAUUGCACAUGGUCAGGGGUGUAAGACUAGUUCUCAUGGCUCCUUCUAAGACAUGUUAAAUCUCUUAAAAAUUUCAGCAGUCUGCCUUUCUUUAACCUCUACUGAACAGAGCUUAUUUUAAAGAACUGGGGUAUCACUGAAAAUGAUUUUGAGUAAUGAUGGUGAAGAAUGGAAUUAGCAAAUAUAUUACACAGAGAUUACAAUUUUCGUUUCAUAAUUUAUUUAAAGAUCUGUGUUUGUCUGUCUAGAGAUUCCUUUUGGAAAUUACCAGUAAUUGCGUUUUCAAGCCGGUCCUUAAUAAUCAGAGAACAAUGGUCAUUUUGUGUUUAUUAUAGCCAUUGUUUAAGUUGAGCUUGUAGGAAGAAGAAUUUUGUCUUUAAAAACACAGAAGUGCUUUUGUGCAAUGAUUCCCAAAUAAGCAUUUUUCAUAAUAUUCAUUGAUUUUUAGUCACUGUAAUACAGUCAGGGUAGCAUGUAUAAGCUUCUUUAGAUACUGGCAAUACUUAGACUACUCUCUAAAUGGCCCUUUCUUUUCUGAGUGAUUGGGAGCCAGAGUUUGAGAAUGUGUGUAUGGUCUAAUUUUUUUUACAGAGUAUGUAAUUCAGAGUGUUACUCUUGCUGUUCCAAAUCUGCCACUUAUCUAUGUCUCUAUAAGAUGUAUUUGCUAACACAAUUGUAAACUGAUUUAUUUAUUCUUCUCUCAUAUAUUAUGUCGGGGCUGAAGUUUCUCUCUCGCGCGACUAAAUUCCAAAUUCCAAAUUCCUUCCGUCUCCCCAGACUCCCCAGAUCUACUUCUCAGUUUUCC
rnacentral:lncRNA from 1 species